UACUAGAGUAGCACUCGCAUAUCAAUAAGCGGAGGAAAAGAAACUAACAAGGAUUCCCCUAGUAACGGCGAGUGAAGCGGGAAGAGCUCAAAUUUGAAAUCUUAAAGGGUUUCCCUUUACGAAUUGUAGUUUAAAGAAGUGUUUUCUGUUGAGGUUUUGGUAAAAGUUCUUUGGAAUAGGACAUCAUAGAGGGUGAGAAUCCCGUAUUUGACCUUUACUUUCAACUUUGUGAUACACUUUCAAAGAGUCGGAUUGUUUGGGAAUGCAGUCCAAAAUGGGUGGUAAAUUUCAUCUAAAGCUAAAUAUUGGCGAGAGACCGAUAGCGAACAAGUACCGUGAGGGAAAGAUGAAAAGAACUUUGAAAAGAGAGUUAAACAGUACGUGAAAUUGUCAAAAGGGAAGCGUUUGACACCAGUGUUGUUUUUCUGAAAAUCAAUUAAAGAACUGUUUAUGCUAAGUUGUUUAGACUUUAUCAGCUAACUGUUUAGUUUUGAGCUUUUCUUUAAUGCACUUUUCAGUUAACAAGUCAACAUCAAUUUCUUUUGCUGUAAAAAAGCUUGAGGAAGGUGGCUUGAGAUUCGUCUUAAGUGUUUAUAGCCUCUUGCCUAUGCAGUCGGAGAGAUUGAGGUUUGCAGCGUAGAUCCUUCGGGGCUAAAUGCAUUUGUGCUAAGUUAUAGCAUUUUAUAGGACAACUUGUUGACUAUGAUUUGUCUUGUAGCUUACUCGCUUAUGUUAUUUUACCUACGCUUAGGAUGUUGAUCUCUCACAGUCGAGC
rnacentral:rRNA from 1 species